ACUAUUUUGGCAGAUUAGUGCAGUAAAUUUAGAUUUUAUUUAAGUAUAAUAAUUUUAUACAUAUAGUA
rnacentral:tRNA from 1 species